rnacentral:rRNA from 1 species
UACGUAGGUGGCGAGCGUUGUCCGGAUUUAUUGGGCGUAAAGCGCGCGCAGGUGGUGCGGUAAGUCUGUCGUGAAAUCUCCCGGCUCAACUGGGAGGGUGCGGUGGAGACUGCCGGACUAGAGGCACUCAGAGGCCGGUGGAAUUCCCGGUGUAGUGGUGAAAUGCGUAGAGAUCGGGAGGAACACCAGUGGCGAAGGCGGCCGGCUGGGGGUGACCUGACGCUGAGGCGCGAAAGCGUGGGGAGCGAACAGG